CAAUGUCAUUUACUUCUUAGAUUUGCAAUUAUUACUAAACUCUACAAUACUCUGUUUUCAUUUCCAGGUUUUCUGCAGUAGUGCUUUGCACCACUGCCAUCUGAUCGAGAUACUCUGCAGCUGUCUGUGAUGUUGGAAUGCUCGUGGAUACUCGGACAAAGCAUAAAAAGAUAACAUGCAAUGGUGCCCACCAUUAUGCUGGCUGGUAGUGCCUGUGCCUGAAUGAGUGCUUUCCAGGUGAACAGUCAUUGGCUGCCAGAUUUCAAAAUGUUGCCUCUACAGCUUAAGAUUGAAAGUUGCAGACCCGUCUCACUGAAUCACUGGAGAUGUCCAACUACACGACUGCUCUUAAAUGUGCUAAGAUUAAGUAAAUGAAGGCUAUGUCUGAAACUCAUUGUAAAAGUAAUGUAGUGUGAUGGGAAUAUCUACUGCAUCAAAUCUUUAGCAAUGUUGUAUCAUACUAUCUAGAUAUUAGUAGAUAACUUUGUUAAAUUUAAGUACUGCAGAAUGUCUGGGAGGAUGGGCCGUCUUUGGUCUUAUUUUAUCUAUUAUGACACCGACUCU